UAAGCGACUAAGCGUACACGGUGGAUGCCUAGGCAGUCAGAGGCGAUGAAGGGCGUGCUAAUCUGCGAAAAGCGUCGGUAAGCUGAUAUGAAGCGUUAUAACCGACGAUACCCGAAUGGGGAAACCCAGUGCAAUACGUUGCACUAUCGUUAGAUGAAUACAUAGUCUAACGAGGCGAACCGGGGGAACUGAAACAUCUAAGUACCCCGAGGAAAGAAAUCAACCGAGAUUCCCCCAGUAGCGGCGAGCGAACGGGGAGGAGCCCAGAGUCUGAAUCAGUUUGUGUGUUAGUGGAAGCGUCUGGAAAGUCGCACGGUACAGGGUGAUAGUCCCGUACACCAAAAUGCACAGGCUGUGAACUCGAUGAGUAGGGCGGGACACGUGACAUCCUGUCUGAAUAUGGGGGGACCAUCCUCCAAGGCUAAAUACUCCUGACUGACCGAUAGUGAACCAGUACCGUGAGGGAAAGGCGAAAAGAACCCCGGCGAGGGGAGUGAAAUAGAACCUGAAACCGUGUACGUACAAGCAGUGGGAGCACCUUCGUGGUGUGACUGCGUACCUUUUGUAUAAUGGGUCAGCGACUUAUAUUUUGUAGCAAGGUUAACCGAAUAGGGGAGCCGUAGGGAAACCGAGUCUUAACUGGGCGUCUAGUUGCAAGGUAUAGACCCGAAACCCGGUGAUCUAGCCAUGGGCAGGUUGAAGGUUGGGUAACACUAACUGGAGGACCGAACCGACUAAUGUUGAAAAAUUAGCGGAUGACUUGUGGCUGGGGGUGAAAGGCCAAUCAAACCGGGAGAUAGCUGGUUCUCCCCGAAAGCUAUUUAGGUAGCGCCUCGUGAACUCAUCUUCGGGGGUAGAGCACUGUUUCGGCUAGGGGGCCAUCCCGGCUUACCAAACCGAUGCAAACUCCGAAUACCGAAGAAUGUUAUCACGGGAGACACACGGCGGGUGCUAACGUCCGUCGUGAAGAGGGAAACAACCCAGACCGCCAGCUAAGGUCCCAAAGUCAUGGUUAAGUGGGAAACGAUGUGGGAAGGCACAGACAGCCAGGAUGUUGGCUUAGAAGCAGCCAUCAUUUAAAGAAAGCGUAAUAGCUCACUGGUCGAGUCGGCCUGCGCGGAAGAUGUAACGGGGCUAAACCAUGCACCGAAGCUGCGGCAGCGACACUUAGGUGUUGUUGGGUAGGGGAGCGUUCUGUAAGCCGUUGAAGGUGACCUGUGAGGGUUGCUGGAGGUAUCAGAAGUGCGAAUGCUGACAUAAGUAACGAUAAUGCGGGUGAAAAACCCGCACGCCGGAAGACCAAGGGUUCCUGUCCAACGUUAAUCGGGGCAGGGUGAGUCGACCCCUAAGGCGAGGCUGAAAAGCGUAGUCGAUGGGAAACAGGUUAAUAUUCCUGUACUUGGUGUUACUGCGAAGGGGGGACGGAGAAGGCUAGGCUGGCCGGGCGACGGUUGUCCCGGUUUAAGCGUGUAGGGGGAGUGACCAGGUAAAUCCGGUUGCUUAUCAACCCUGAGGCGUGAUGACGAUGCACCACGGUGCAGAAGCAGUUGAUGCCAUGCUUCCAGGAAAAGCCUCUAAGCAUCAGGUAACAUUAAAUCGUACCCCAAACCGACACAGGUGGUCAGGUAGAGAAUACUCAGGCGCUUGAGAGAACUCGGGUGAAGGAACUAGGCAAAAUGGUGCCGUAACUUCGGGAGAAGGCACGCUGGCGUUAGGUGAAAGGACUAGCUCCUGGAGCUGAAGCCAGUCGCAGAUACCAGCUGGCUGCAACUGUUUAAUAAAAACACAGCACUGUGCAAACACGAAAGUGGACGUAUACGGUGUGACGCCUGCCCGGUGCUGGAAGGUUAAUUGAUGGGGUCAGCCGCAAGGGGAAGCUCUUGAUCGAAGCCCCAGUAAACGGCGGCCGUAACUAUAACGGUCCUAAGGUAGCGAAAUUCCUUGUCGGGUAAGUUCCGACCUGCACGAAUGGCGUAAUGAUGGCCAGGCUGUCUCCACCCGAGACUCAGUGAAAUUGAACUCGCUGUGAAGAUGCAGUGUACCCGCGGCAAGACGGAAAGACCCCGUGAACCUUUACUAUAGCUUGACACUGAACAUUGAGCCUUGAUGUGUAGGAUAGGUGGGAGGCCUUGAAGUGUGGACGCCAGUCUGCAUGGAGCCAACCUUGAAAUACCACCCUUUAAUGUUUGAUGUUCUAACUCGGCCCCAUGAUCUGGGGUGAGGACAGUGUCUGGUGGGUAGUUUGACUGGGGCGGUCUCCUCCCAAAGAGUAACGGAGGAGCACGAAGGUUAGCUAAUCACGGUCGGACAUCGUGAGGUUAGUGCAAAGGCAUAAGCUAGCUUGACUGCGAGAGUGACGGCUCGAGCAGGUACGAAAGUAGGUCUUAGUGAUCCGGUGGUUCUGAAUGGAAGGGCCAUCGCUCAACGGAUAAAAGGUACUCCGGGGAUAACAGGCUGAUACCGCCCAAGAGUUCAUAUCGACGGCGGUGUUUGGCACCUCGAUGUCGGCUCAUCACAUCCUGGGGCUGAAGUAGGUCCCAAGGGUAUGGCUGUUCGCCAUUUAAAGUGGUACGCGAGCUGGGUUUAGAACGUCGUGAGACAGUUCGGUCCCUAUCUGCCGUGGGCGUUGGAAGAUUGAGAGGGGCUGCUCCUAGUACGAGAGGACCGGAGUGGACGAAUCACUGGUGUUCGGGUUGUCAUGCCAAUGGCAUUGCCCGGUAGCUAAAUUCGGAAGAGAUAACCGCUGAAAGCAUCUAAGCGGGAAACUUGCCUCGAGAUGAGUCUUCCCUGGGGCUUAAAGCCCCCUGAAGGAACGUUAAAGACUAUGACGUUGAUAGGCUGGGUGUGUAAGUGCAGCGAUGUAUUGAGCUAACCAGUACUAAUGAUCCGUGAGGCUUAACCU
rnacentral:rRNA from 1 species